ACUGGCGGCAGCUUACACAUGCAGUCGAGCGGGCACCUUCGGGUGUCAGCGGCAGACGGGUGAGUAACACGUGGGAACGUACCCUUUGGUUCGGAACAACUCUGGGAAACUGGAGCUAAUACCGGAUACGCCCUUAUGGGGAAAGGUUUACCGCCGAAGGAUCGGCCCGCGUCUGAUUAGCUAGUUGGUGAGGUAACGGCUCACCAAGGCGACGAUCAGUAGCUGGUCUGAGAGGAUGAUCAGCCACACUGGGACUGAGACACGGCCCAGACUCCUACGGGAGGCAGCAGUGGGGAAUAUUGGACAAUGGGCGCAAGCCUGAUCCAGCCAUGCCGCGUGAGUGAUGAAGGCCUUAGGGUUGUAAAGCUCUUUUGUCCGGGACGAUAAUGACGGUACCGGAAGAAUAAGCCCCGGCUAACUUCGUGCCAGCAGCCGCGGUAAU
rnacentral:rRNA from 1 species